rnacentral:lncRNA from 1 species
CUGUAGAUCAAAAUGAUUGCUAAAUUAAUCCCCAUAUUCUAAGUCUUGCCUCUCUGAGGAUUUCAUCAUAGGAUGACAGAAUAUUUGUUUUAACAAGAGAAAAGUGAGAAAUAACUUAAAAUGGGGGAGAAAAGCUCCCUAAUUUGGAAAAAGAAUGUCAGGUAUAAGUUGGUAAUGACCAGCAGUCAGCUGUACAGCUUGACAGACACUUAUCUGAGCCAAUCCUCAGUCCUUCCAUUGGCCCUUGUGACUGUAUCCUAACCCAUUUUCCUCCAUAGCAUUUCUUUUCCCCACGAUCCUCCCAUAGAAUUCACCUAUAGAUUGCAAAUCUCUCUCGCCAUGCUAAGAUUAUCUUUCUUACUACCAAUUCUUUCUAGGCUUCGUCAUUUCAUUCCUAACGUCUUCUGAUUCGACUUUGAGACAACCCAGGACUCUGGAAUCUUUGCUGCAACUUCUCCAAUGGACAGAUGUUCCUUUCCAUCCUCUUAACAAGAUUCCGUAUCGUGGGGGCUCCUUCAGAUUUCUCCUGAAGAUGUCUCCUUGAGCAGUUCGUCAGAUUCUGGGCUGCAGGAAAAUCUGGUCCAUGUUUUUGGCUCCUAAUAAACGUCUUGAGGUUUCCACCCAAACAUAUCGGAAUAAGUGGGUGAAGGCAAGCAAAGCAUAUGAUGAUGCCCCUGUGGUUUUCAGAUGGCUCAGCAGAUGUAUUUGGUUCAAGAUUGGAGGGGGCGUGGCAGACAUACAGUUUGGCCAGUGAGGUGAGUGGCUGUUGCAGACUGCAUGAUGGGUCCAAACACUUCUCAGACUCUUCCAUGAGGUGCUGGAUUCUUGAAUAGGGAAGCAAGGAAUCAGGAUCUCAGAGGCUAAGCUCUGCGCCUUACUUACAGGGAUCUUAACCUGUUGUCCUGACUUUUCUCAAAAAGGAGCAUUUACUAAACAAGAAUGGCAUUUCCUCGGGCAGGCUAUGAAACAAAGUGAGGCAAAAGGAUACAGAAUGUUACCGCCUUUGGGAUCCCAUGCAAUCUAGUGAAGAUAUUGCACAAACUAUGGAGAGUUGAGCUGUUCCUCAGCUGCAGACCCCACCUUUCACUGCUUGUACUCACUCUUCUUGCCCCUUUGAAUGAGAUGGCCAAAGAGAAACACCCCUUCCUUAAUGCUGCAGAUGCCAAGAACCAGCCCCAUGGCCUGGGGCAAACCUCCUGCCCAAACCCCUUGUUUCUGGGUCCUGUCCUCACUGCUGUCAAAUGAUAGCUGAACCCCAGCAUGGAGGUAAGCUGUCUGCCUAUCCUCCCAAGGAACAGCUUUUGCAUCCAUGCUCUUCCACCUCAGCUGCCUCUUGACCGUAUUCAACAUGACUUUCCAAAUCAAUAAAAUGUCUCUUUUAUUUUGAAUCUAAGUUUCA